rnacentral:rRNA from 1 species
CAGUGGCGAACGGGUGAGUAACACGUGAGUAACCUGCCCCAGACUCUGGGAUAAGCACUGGAAACGGUGUCUAAUACCGGAUACGAGCUUCAGCCGCAUGGCUAGGAGCUGGAAAGAAUUUCGGUCUGGGAUGGACUCGCGGCCUAUCAGCUAGUUGGUGAGGUAAUGGCUCACCAAGGCGACGACGGGUAGCCGGCCUGAGAGGGUGACCGGCCACACUGGGACUGAGACACGGCCCAGACUCCUACGGGAGGCAGCAGUGGGGAAUAUUGCACAAUGGGCGCAAGCCUGAUGCAGCAACGCCGCGUGAGGGACGACGGCCUUCGGGUUGUAAACCUCUUUUAGUAGGGAAGAAGCGAAAGUGACGGUACCUGCAGAAAAAGCACCGGCUAACUACGUGCCAGCAGCCGCGGUAAUACGUAGGGUGCAAGCGUUAUCCGGAAUUAUUGGGCGUAAAGAGCUCGUAGGCGGUUUGUCGCGUCUGCUGUGAAAACUGGAGGCUCAACCUCCAGCCUGCAGUGGGUA